CAGCAGGGAAGGAUUUGUUUAGUCUGCUGGCUAUAUUCUAGGACGUAUGAGGUCCUGGGUAUAACCAAAGCUGGACUGUAUGGUAACAAAA
rnacentral:pre_miRNA from 1 species